rnacentral:tRNA from 1 species
GGGUAGGUUCCCGAGUGGCCAAAGGGAGCAGACUGUAAAUCUGCCGCAGAUUGCUUCGGUGGUUCGAAUCCACCCCUGCCCACCA